AAUCAACGCUGGCGGCGUGCCUAACACAUGCAAGUCGAACGCGAAAAUCCCGAAAGGGAUCAGUAGAGUGGCAAACGGGUGAGUAACACGUGGGUGACCUGCCUUCGAGUGGGGGAUAACGUCCCGAAGGGACGCUAAUACCGCAUGACAUCCUGCUCUUGAACGAGUGGAGAUCAAAGCUGGGGAUCGCAAGACCUAGCGCUCAAAGAGGGGCCCGCGCCUGANAGCUAGUUGGUGGGGGUAACGGCUCACCAAGGCAACGAUCAGUAUCCGGCCUGAGAGGGCGGACGGACACACUGGGGACUGAGACACGGCCCAGACUCCUACGGGAGGCAGCAGUGGGGAAUUGUUCGCAAUGGGCGCAAGCCUGACGACGCAACGCCGCGUGGAGGAUG
rnacentral:rRNA from 1 species